CUUAACUGACCAGAAUGUAGUCUUGUGAUGUUUAUAUUCACAGACUCAAAAUAAUGAAAAACUCUGAGUCCUCUUUGCUGGGCAAGAGUUUCAGAAGGCAGCAAAGGGUGAGUCUGGAUUCAGCAGUUGUCCACUGGAUGCCUUCUAGAAAUUGCUUAUAGCAAAGUAUACAGAACAGGAGAUAUUGAGCAGAAAGUGGGAGGAAGUUACAGAGAAGAUGACAAUUGCUUCUUACUGCCAGGGCCUUCUUCAUGUUGAUAUGGGAUAUUCGUUGAAGAGGAAACACCAAGAGGGCAGACAGCUGCAGGCCAAGGAACUGAAUCCAUCUGGAAAGCUGCAGGAGACAGUACAGGAAGGGCAAAGGACCUGGCAACCUUGGAGAAGGUUGAGUUCUGACUGUUCAGGAGAGCGAAUAGAGAGUUGGGAGGGGAAGGUAAUGCUGUAACCCGUGAAUACUGGGAAUGUUUGCCAGGUGCCCUACAAUGUGGUCAUCCCAGUUUGCU
ensembl:lncRNA